rnacentral:tRNA from 2 species
UAAAAGGUAGUGUAGUGGGUGCACGAGGGGUUUUGAUCCCCUAAGGAUAGGUUCAAACCCCAUCUUUUUA